rnacentral:rRNA from 1 species
CAGCAGCCGCGGUAAUACGUAGGUGGCAAGCGUUGUCCGGAAUUAUUGGGCGUAAAGGGCUCGCAGGCGGUUUCUUAAGUCUGAUGUGAAAGCCCCCGGCUCAACCGGGGAGGGUCAUUGGAAACUGGGAAACUUGAGUGCAGAAGAGGAGAGUGGAAUUCCACGUGUAGCGGUGAAAUGCGUAGAGAUGUGGAGGAACACCAGUAGCGAAGGCGACUCUCUGGUCUGUAACUGACGCUGAGGGGCGAAAGCGUGGGGAGCGAACAGGAUUAGAUACCCCCGUAGUCCCUGUCUCUUAUAC